rnacentral:rRNA from 1 species
GACGAACGCUGGCGGCGUGCUUAACACAUGCAAGUCGAACGGCAAGGCCCUGCUUUUGUGGGGUGCUCGAGUGGCGAACGGGUGAGUAACACGUGUGUAACCUGCCCUUGACUUUGGGAUAACUUCAGGAAACUGGGGCUAAUACCGGACAGGAGCUCCUGCUGCAUGGUGGGGGUUGGAACGUUUCGGCGGUUGGGGAUGGACUCGCGGCUUUUCAGCUUGUUGGUGGGGUAGAGGCUUACCAAGGCGUCGACCGGUCGCCGGCCUGAGAGGGUGAUCGGCCACACGGGAGCUGAGACACGGUCCAGGGUCCUACGGGAGGCAGCAGUGGGGAAGGUUGGACAAUGGGGGCAAGCCUGAUCCAGGCGUACCGCGUGGGUUAAGAAGGCCUUCGGGUUGUAAAGCCCUUUUGUUGGGAAAGAACAGCUGCCGGUUAAUACGCCGCUGUUGUGACGGUACCGAAAGAAUAAGCACCGGCUAACUUCGUG